UCUUUACGCGCAAAUCACUCAGAUAUUUACUCGUAUAUUUAUGAAUGUUUCAUGAAUGAGACCCAUUGUGUGUGAUUAUGUAAUGAAAUCUGUAUAACCUGCAUUAUUUAUUUCUUGUCUGUGCUCUUACUUGUUCAAUGUUCAUCCUGAGCUUCCAACUGGCAUACAACUGCAGGGCAAGUGUACAACUGGCGACGGUAUGUUCUAAGUCUAUCUAUAUCUAAAUGAAUAACUCUUAUAAUGAUCCAUCAGUUGGAUAUGUACAGCUGUUCCAUGUUAUGAUUGAAGUAGUAUUAUCUGAAGGUAAUCCAUUUUAUCAAUGCAACACUCUGAAAUGAGAAUUGUAUCACUGUAUUGUCUGUUCUGUUUUUGUGUCCUUACGAUAUGAGCGCUAUCCUGAGAUUCCAACAUGGUCUGAGUCCAGUUAAUCCAGCCUGUAAUUCAAACAAGUGAUCAUCAUUUUCAACCCAACAUCUCCCAUAAUUGCUCUUCUUUCUUGAGCUAGUAAGCUUCACUCAGCCAAGUCAUUCUAAGCCAUCCAAAUCAUAAUGGAUGCUUCCAAACAUUAUAGGAAACCUCUACAAAGACUGCCUGCAUCCAUCCAUUUGUCUCUUAAUAUCACAAUUAAGUCAAUAGAACAACACAAAAUUGGUUUGUGCAUCAAGUCUCACUAACUACUGUCAAAGAUUUCUGCAAUAUGCUACAUAUUUGAAACUUCCUCCUUAUCCUAUAUUAGAUUUUUUUCUUCGCCAUGAACUGUUUUUAUGAAGAGGCACACAACCAAUCAAAAGGUUUGUGCAAUACGUUACACUUCAAACUUCCACCUUAUCCAUUAUGAUUCUCUGUUCCACGGACUGUUUUUAUGAAGAGGCACACAACCAAUCAAAAGGUUUGUGCAAUACGUUACACUUCAAACUUCCACCUUAUCCAUUAUGAUUCUCUGUUCCACGGACUGUUUUUAUGAAGAGGCACACAACCAAUCAAAAGGUUUGUGCAAUACGUUACACUUCAAACUUCCACCUUAUCCAUUAUGAUUCUCUGUUCCACGGACUGUUUUUAUGAAGAGGCACACAACCAAUCAAAAGGUUUGUGCAAUACGUUACACUUCAAACUUCCACCUUAUCCAUUAUGAUUCUCUGUUCCACGGACUGUUUUUAUGAAGAGGCACACAACCAAUCAAAAGGUUUGUGCAAUACGUUACACUUCAAACUUCCACCUUAUCCAUUAUGAUUCUCUGUUCCACGGACUGUUUUUAUGAAGAGGCACACAACCAAUCAAAAGGUUUGUGCAUGAAAACCCAAUAUCUACUGUCCACUGUUCCCAAGAGAUUUCUGCAAUAUGCUACAUAUGUGAAACUUCCUCCUUCAGUAUUGGAUUCUCCACUCCAUGAACUGUUUUUAUGGAGAGGCACACAACCAAUACAACGAUUUCUGCAAUAGCUACAGUUGAAACUUCUUCCGUAUCCAUUAAAUGAUUCUCCACUCUAUGAACCCUUUUUAUGAAGAACACAACUGAAAAAAGUGAAUACAAAAUCAUUGUUCAAGUAUCUUCAGAAAUAGUCCCGGCGAAAUUCUAAACUGAUGCAGGCAGUCAAUAGUCAAAGAUCUCACAAAUGCAUAACCACAAAAGUAACACAAUUCUAUAUGAAAUGUUGUAUGGAUGGCUUGUAAUAUAUUUGGUCUAUGUACAGCAAAUUUAGAUGCCAGCCAAAGGAGGAUGGCUUGCCCCUGCUGAGUCUGGUUCCUCCCAAGGUUUCUCCCUAUACCUCCGCUGAUGAUCCUCUUCACUAAUUUAGGGAGUUUUUCCUUGCCACUGUUGCCUUCUGGCUUGCUCACUGGGGUUUUAAGGCACAAUAUUUUCAAUGUAAAGUGUUUGUAAAGAAAAAUAAAUACAUGAUGAAUUAGAAUAU